CUCAGAUUAUCCGAAUAUGCUUAAGUCAUAUCAACUCAUAAAAUUAAGACAUCUUUUUUUUUUAAUAGGUAUUCUGUGAUGGGAAGAUGGAACCAGGUUAAUCUAUAUGCCUUCCUAUUGCUAUAGAAUAUAAAAAAGAGCUCACAGAGUUCUGAAAGCACAUUUUUAAUCCUCUUUAUUACUAAACUAGAAAGGGUGUCAGUUCCCUUCUUCCUCCAUGUACAAUAGCGAGUCCCUGGCAGGAGCCCUUAUCAUCCUUCUUCCUAUAUACUAAAGAAGCUUACCCGGCCCGAUCCUCCCCACGUGACUCAGCUGCAAGUUCCUUGCCAGUAAAAAAGGAUGCUGCUACUUCCUGAAAGGUCUGUUCCUUUCACUUUCUGACUCACAUUUGUUAUCUCUCUUGUCACAGAAGCUGAUUCAACAAACAUACUCAGUUAUACCCUUCCUUUCAUCUCACCAGUAGCAGGAGCAGAGAAGGGAUGAACAUGGCAUUGAAACCUGGGUGCUGAAAUGCCUUUAAAGAGCCCAAUGAAUAUUCCCACAGCAGCAUCUUCAGGACAGUGUUUCUCUAGUGGACAGGCUGGCUGUUCCUUACAGCCGUAUUUUCAAUGUGGGCGAUCCUCUGAGCUCUCGCCUUCAGGGGCGCUGGGAGGAUUAUGCCCUGAGGUCUGAAAGCAAAGCCAAAUACUAACAUCAUAGGUGUCCACUGACCUAAUCCUGUUGCCAGCUGCAGGACUGAGGAGCUGCAGGUGCGAAUGGAGUGGAGAAUGGGAAAUGAGAAGAGCCUGGGGGAGGGAGGAACGAUAAUCCGAAAUAACCUGGAAAUGGACCAGCUUCUAUGACACAGCUCAUGCUGGCUGACUGGAUACGGGGGACUGGAUGGAGCACGUUGGCGGGAGAAUCACUGGUGAAUCUGAAGCAAGCGGAGGCAGCUUCAGUAAGACGCGCCAUUGCCGCCUCUCAGGAAACCAUUCAAGAGGGCGGAACCUGCAAGUGUUUGCCAAGAGAAAGAUUUUACAUACCCUUUUAAAAUAGACUUCAUGAGGAGCUGAGAUUUCACAAUGCAGAAGGGGAAAAAAGAAGGUGGGGCGUAUACAUUAGAAUCUGGUAUGCUGUGUACUACGUGCCUUCAAAAGUCAAAUAGAACUUCUCUCUGUCCAAAAAAUACAAAAGUAAAAUAAAAUAGACUUCCUGAGGGAUGUCAGAAAGGUACAUUGCCUCUUUAAAUGAUGUAUGAAUAGUUCAUUUAUUUUUAAAAAUAAUCACAUAUGUGUUUAUAUAAAUUAUACAUGCAAACAUAUGCUCAGCAGUUCUCCUCAUGGAAAGGCUGUUGCUUAUCCAAUUUGGUGCUGACACUGUCUUUCCAUGGUCCUCUCUCUAGCAACAGGAUUCUGCUGUCCGCCCCCCACCCCCACCCCCGUGUAAGAGCCUGCAUAUAGAGCUCCUUCUGCACGACGCCAAGCACUUACUUUUAUACUUUUCUUACCACUGAUGCUGGGUAAGAAAUAAAAUCCAGAGACUUCACUAUCUAUAAUUAAGACUUUUGCUGCCACCAUGAUAUAAAGAUUGGGA
rnacentral:lncRNA from 1 species